UCACUCUUUUCUCUUGUCCUCACUGUGUCAGUUAUUAGUUCAGUCUGUGUUCUGGUUCUUGUGGUGUUACUGGUUCUGCUGGUGAGACGACAAGUUCAAAGGAAAACUGAAAGGGAGGAGUUGGAGAUGAAGUCAUCAACAACAGCCAAUCAGAGGAAGCAGAGAAAGUCAUCCAGCUGUUGUCCUCUCAGCCCUGAGAACUGAAGACAUCAGUUAUGGAUAAACAGCUGUCUGAUGGAACAGGGAGCAGUGGGACAGCUGACGUGGCUCUUCUGAUCAAUUAUUGAUUCAGGAAACAGCAAAGCAUGAAACUGAGUUUAUGUCUGGAAGAUGCCAGAUACAUAAACUUCUCCUUAACAUAAAGAUUUUAUUCUAUUCUUCUUCAGACUUUAACUGUGAUGCUCUGAUACUUUCACUAACAUUCUCCUGUUGUGUUCAUUUACUUUAUAUAAACAUGAGAGAUGAGUUUGCAGAGCUUUUUAUUCUUCUCAUGUUGAACUGUAUGUGUUUGUGUUCAGACUUUAAACCAGAGCCAGACGUCGUCUACUCCUCACUGAAGUAGUCCACCAGUCCAACCACUGAUGUCCAGCUGCUGGUCUCUAACUGGUCCACAGAGCCACACAAUGUUGAUCUGCAUAUAUUCUGUAGUGUCUUCUCAUUAUAAUAUACACUCUCAGUGUUUGUAUGAGUGUAUAUAGUAUAACUAAAAUAUGAAUGUCAUCUGUACAGCGUUGUCCUGCACUGAAAAAAAUAAUCAGUGGGAUAAACAUAAAAAAAUUAUUGUAAGCGGUUGCACGAAAUUAAGUUAUGUUUGGUUAACCUGAGUUUUUCAUGUUAUACCUGCACACAUUUAUCUGGUAACAUGAACAUGACUUUUUUAUGUUGUUGUUACGUUUUUCAUUCUGGUCAAAUAUUGAUAGAAACCACUUGUUUAUCAGACAUGAACUUUUUGUGUUAAUUGUAUUGGACUACUAUGUGUUAUAUUGACAAGAUUAUUUUAUGGUAAGCUUAUUUUAUUUUAUAACAAAUUUCUAAUAUAUAAUAUAUAAUCUAAUAUAUAAUUGAGUGUUCAAUAAAUAAAACUAAAUUAAGGCUGAUCUUACUGUAUGUACUGUACACUUUCUCUUCAAUCAAAGAAAUAAGCAAAACAUUUUUGAAC